UUCCAGCAUGAAGUCUACCCCCAAGCCCCAGUGGCCUCUGGGUCGGCGGCAGACCAGCCUAAGUCCCGGCAGGUGUUCAUCAUCCAGGACCUGGAGAUCAGAGACAGACUGGCCAUCUCCCAGUUGAACAAGUUCCUGUACCUCUACUCCAGCAAGGAGAUGCCCCGCACUGCCCACUUCAACAUGCUAACUGUUCGGGCUCUGCACAUGUGUCCAGAGACGGGUCAAGCACCCUGGAAUACAGUCUGCGAGUCUCACUCAUGCCCCUUCAUCUCAACAUCGAUCAGGAUGCAUUGUUUUUCUUGAAAGACUUAUUUUCCAACCUUGCUGCCGAAGUUGAGAUAUUUUCUCCACCUGAUCAAGAAGCCUGGUGCGUUUCAAUGAAGAACCCAUCUGCCCCAGAUGUGUCUUGCAGCUUCACUAAGCAUGGAGGUGGGAGCCAGGACUCUGCGCCCAUCAUCUCUGUGCCUGCCUAGAGCCGCUGCAGCAUCAACGGCCUCACCUUAUCCAGUAACAGCAACACUGGGGAAGCUGAGGCUGCCACUGCAUCAUCCUUCACUGACCAGCCCAUCUUCUUUAGUUUUGGUUUACCUCUGAAGUUCAUAUUCAUCUGGAUUACCAUGGAAAACACGUUUCAAUGGAGCAAGGAACAUGUGCUGGGACUGUGAUUGGGUUGACACAGUUGAAUUGCUCCGAGCUGAAACUAAGGAGAUUAUGCUACAGACAAGGACUGUUGGGAGUGGAUAAGCUCUUUUCCUAUGCAAUAAAUGAGUGGCUGAACGACAUCAAAAAGAACCAGCUGCCAGGACUGUUGGGUGGCGUGGGACCUAUCCACUCGCUGGUACAGUUGGAACAGCCUCGAUUUGUUGAGGCAUGGACUCUACAAGGUGUUGAAAGCGUUCCACAGGGGUGCUGGCCCAUGUUGACUCCAAUACUUUCCACAGUUGGCUGGUAGCGGAUCUCCCCUCCGACUUGCUUGUUCUAUCUCAUCCCACAGCUCAAUUGGAUUGAGAUCUGGUGACUGGGCAGGCCACUGCAGUAGAUACACUGCUGCCAUGAAGAGAUGCACCGGAUAGGCAAUGAUGUUCCGAUAUCAUGUGGCAUUCAAACAUUGCUCCACUUUUAUCAAGGGGACCAAUGUGUGCCAUGAAAACAAACCUCACACCAUCACCACCAGCCUGCAAUGUUCACACGUGGCAUGAAGGAUGCAUGUACUCAUUCUCCAUACCCUAGUCCUCCUAUUAGUGUGAAACAGCAGGAACCAGGAUUCAUCAGACCAGGCAAAGUUGUUCCAAUUCUCCAGUGUCUUUGUUCCUUAGCCCACUGAAACUACAGUUUCUUGUUUUUUUUUGCUGAAAGAAGUGAAACUAAGGUCAUCAGCUGCCAUACCCCAUUCGUGUCAAGGUAUGAUGAGUUGUGCAUUCUUUUAUGGGUCUUUGGGCAACAAUUUUGUACUGGCCUGUCAGUUGACGAACUGUAGCCCAUCAGUUGCUCUGCACAAUUCGUGGCAGUCUCCUUUGUCUCCUUUGUCUGAUUUGACCAAAGUCAAAUCAGAAAUCCUGAUCUAAUCAGCCUUGUUUGCAUUAACCAAAUAAUAACACACUUUUCCUUUUCCACCUUGUGUUCAGUCCAGGGAUUUAGGGACCUGGUGUGGCUCCCGAUCGAGCAGUACCGGAAGGAUGGUCGGGUUGUAUUGUGAUUGCAGCGUGGUACUGCCUCCUUUGGAACCUCCACAGCUAUGGCUGCUCUGGAACUUACCAAUCGCAUGGUGCGAACUAUCCAGGCAGCAGCAGAGACGGCCUAUGACAUGGUAUCUCCAGGAUCCGAUGAGGGAGACAAAGAGAAUAAAACGGUUCUCUCAUUACAGAUUGUCCCAUCAGCAAGUUGAUCUCUGGGAAGGUUUAGCCAACGCUUAGUGUUGUAAAAGAGGGAAUCACGGACACUGCUCUGACCAUCUAUGACACGGCCACGCGUGAGCACGAGCAGCGUGGGAUGACCGGGCAGUGGGUGGGGUACUUCGACAGCUCCCCCC